AUUGAACGCUGGCGGAAUGCUUUACACAUGCAAGUCGAGCGGCAGCGCGGCCUUCGGGCUGGCGGCGAGCGGCGAACGGGUGAGUAAUGCAUCGGAACAUGCCCAGUCGUGGGGGAUAACACUUCGAAAGAAGUGCUAAUACCGCAUACGUCCUGAGGGGGAAAGCGGGGGAUCGCAAGACCUCGCGCGAUUGGAGUGGCCGAUGUCAGAUUAGCUAGUUGGUGGGGUAAAGGCCUACCAAGGCGACGAUCUGUAGCUGGUCUGAGAGGAUGAUCGGCCACACUGGGACUGAGACACGGCCCAGACUCCUACGGGAGGCAGCAGUGGGGAAUUUUGGACAAUGGGGGCAACCCUGAUCCAGCCAUUCCGCGUGAGUGAAGAAGGCCUUCGGGUUGUAAAGCUCUUUCGGCAGGAACGAAACGGUGGGCUCUAACAUAGUCCGCUAAUGACGGUACCUGAAGAAGAAGCACCGGCUAACUACGUG
rnacentral:rRNA from 1 species